rnacentral:lncRNA from 10 species
AUUGAGUUCUCACAUGUAUUUUUAGGAAUUAAAUAUAGAACAAUUGAAUAAUUCAUAAUAUACCAAGUAAUUUUAGUUAAAAAAUAAUUGAGGAUUUUAUAAAUGAGAUUUAUCAAAUACCAGCAUUAAUCAAACUCCACUUCCUAUAAGAAUAUAGGACCCAAAUUGGUAUUUUGCAAUACAGACCUUGGAGUUAAAUGUAAAUGUUUUACUAACUAUAUAGCUUUACAGAAUUUUUCAUCAACAAAGUAGUUACCAGUUUGGCAAAACCUAGAGAAAAAAGAGUGUUUCCUUUUCCUGAACCAUCUAUAUUGUAUGCAGUCAGCCAAUUUCAAAUAUGGAAAGCUGAAUAUUUUUGUGCAUGUAGUAGUUAUAUUGAGUAACUUUCAUUUUUCAUGGGAAAUGCUGACAUCAUCAUGAUGCCAAAACUUAAGCAGCUACCCUGAUUUCAAGCUCCAUUUAGCAACAUGGGAAAUAUUACAUUGCUUACAUUUAUAGAACUGAAGAAAUACAGACCCUCAGAUAACAUAAAACAAAGUAAAGGCUAAUUAUGUUCAGUUCCUGAAAUACAAGGUCUAUAUCUAUAGUAAUUUGCCUUUUCAUUGUUAUAUUUACAGUCACAAAUUAAGUAAAAGCUCUCUUCAAAAUUACUUUUUAAACAUUUUUCUAUACUCACCAUACUUCAAAUCCUAGUAUUUUUAGUAAUAAUUCUGUUUUAGUACAUAACCAUUAUUUGAAAAUAAAAAUUCAGGAGUUUGAUAAAUAAUUAUUUGCAUAGGUGUGACUAAGGCCAAAUAAUAUAUUCUAAAGUGAAAAAAAGGUUAGAAAUAAAUUGUAAAAGUUAUAAUUUUUCUAAAGAUAUUUACUCAUAAAGUUUAUUCAUUCUUGAGCCAAAUACUUCCAACUUUGCUUCUUGGAUACUCCAACCCUAAACUCUCACUAGAAGACCAGAUUUUAAUAGACAAUUUGUAACUAGUCAUUCCUAAAUAUAUAUCUAAUUUAAUGUAACUAAACAGAAUUCUUGAUUUCCCUAUUCCACUUAUUUCAAAUAAUAUCACUUGUAGCUCAGUUAAAAAUCCAGAAGUAAAAUUAGAAUCUCCUGUUCCACAGUUUUUUAGUUUUACUCUCAAUUAUCUAAUGACUUCUUAAUAGUUACACUAUUAAUUACCUAAGUUCAAAUCAACAUCAUUUCUCCACUGGACCACAACGAUGUUUCCUAAGUGCUUCCAUUUUGUGUCACCCACUCUCAAAAUUACCUUCAUGUUUAUUUUCCAUAGAGCAGCCCAAGGGAUCUUUUCAAGCGUAAAUCAGAAUAUUUUCACUUCUGCUUAAAACUGUACAGUGGUGUCUCAUGCAAUUAGAGUAUAAUUUAAAACUCUCAUUAUGACUUAGCUUUAGGAAACUUAAAAUUGAUGGCUCAUGUUUAUUUUUCGAAUGCUAUACAAUUUUCGUUUUAUUUAGUACACUUUGACCACCUUCACCAGCUUUCUAGUCCUUUAACACUCGGAAUAAAUCUUGCCAUAGGGUCUUGGCAUUUACCUCUUUCCUUGCCUGGAAUUGUUUUUCCUGUUUGGUGUGUGCGGGUGUGGUGUGUGUGUGAUUUGUAAAUUCACAGUUCUUAACUCUAACUUAAUUCUCUCCACUCCUUCACCGAGUUUUGAUUCCUUCAUAAUCAUCACAAGUUAAAAUUGAGUUUUGCCCAUGGUCAUUGUCUACCUGUAACCCAGAAUAUUUCUUCCAAGGGGACCAGAAAUGGGAUCUGCUUGUCUUCUUCACUUGUGUGUCCGCAAUAUCUAGUGCAAAGCUUAUCACAUAAUUGGUUCUCAAUAAGAAAUUUUAAUGAAUUAAUUGUAACAAAAUUGUUCGUUUUGCCAUGAGGUUCAAGCUACCACACCUGUGAUUUAAAAAUGAGACCUGAUUAUUAUUUCUUUAAGAUAGGUAAAAUUAAAAGAAUGUUCAGAUUAAUGAAGAGUUCUGUUUCCCUUUGACUGUUGUUGAUAUCACCUCACAGUCUGGCUGCUGAGAAUAAGCAUUUCAGCAGCUCUGGCAUGGCCUUUUCUUAUUGCUUAAUGAUUUUCCAAUGAUAGAGGAAUGCACUGCAACUGAGCCAUAGAGACUUGAAAGCUAUCUGCUGUACCCGACAUAGAAAUCCCUCUCAUUAUCAAGACAAUGUACUGGCACUGGUUCUGCCUUAAUUGUUUAGACCUCACAAUGAGGAUGUAUAGAGGGAAGAGCAACUCUUUCCAUCAGUGUCAUCAACAUUGUCAGUCCAUAUUCCAUAGUUCUAUGUUUCACACUUAUGACUCAGAACUCUUAUCAGUUCCAAAGCUUCUGUCUUAGGGCAAAAAAAAAUGUACAGUCAUGCUCUGCAUAACACAUUUCUGUCUAUAACAGAUUUUAUAUAUGAUGGUGGUCCCACAGGAUUAUAAUGGAGCUGAAAAAUUCCUAUCACCUAUAGAUGUCGUAACUGCAGUACCGACAUAGCUCAACAGAUUACUCCUGUGUUGGUGGUGAUGCUGGUGUAAACAAAUUUACUGCACUACCAGCUGUAUAAAAGUAAAGCACAUACAAUUAUGUACAGCAUAUUAUACUUGAUAAUGAUAAUGGCUAUGUUUCUGGUUUAUGUAUUUACUAUACUAUACUUUUUAUUGUUAUUUUAAAGAGUGGUGGUGGGUGCCUGUAAUCCCAGCUACUUGGGAAACUGAAGCAGGAGAAUCUCUUGAACCCAGGAGGCAGAGGUUGCAGUGAACCGAGAUCGUGCCACUAUACUCCAGCCCGGGCAACAAGAGUGAAAUUCUGUCUCAAAAAAAAAAAAAAAAAAAAGUUAUGUGUAAAAUAGUCUCAGGCCGACUGUUUUUCAGCAGGUUUUCCAGCAGAAGGCAUUGUGAUCAUAGAAGAUGAUGGCUGUAUGCAUGUUACAGCUCCCAAAGACCUUCCAGUGGCAUAAUUUUAUGGUUGUCAGUGAUAUUGAUCACUGUAUCAAUGAAGACAGUGUUAUUGAUAAUUCCAACCCUGCGUAGGCCUAGGCUAAUGUGUGUGUUUGUGUCUUAGUUUUCAACAGAAAGUUUGAAAAGUAAAAAGAAAAUUAAAAAUAAUAAAAUGCUUAAAGAAUAUGAAUAUAAAGAACAAAACAAACUAUAUUAUUUUAUUAUAUUAGCCAGAGAUGGAUCACUUGUCUAUGCCCUAAUUAUAAUGAUUAGAAAUGAGUUUCUGACAUCUUCAUUCUUUAUAGUGGAUGCUCAGGUCUAGCCUUAAGGAAAAAGAAGAUGCAACCAUGUUUGCCUCCGAACCCAUUUGUUUGCUGUAUAUAUGAAGUCAUUUUCCCAAAGUCAUGACAAAAUAGUAGAAUGAGGUAGUAAGUAGGAUUUUCUGUAUUAAACACAAAGUGCUCCCUAAAUCAUCUCCUUCCAUAGCCACUUCCUCUAGAUUUCUAAGAGAGUAACCAGAUGGUUCUAUUUCUUGCGCUUACUCCAUUUCCAUCCUUUGAAAGAGAGAUUUGUCUUUGACUAGAAAGUCCCACAUAAAUAUAAGUGAAAUAGAGAGGAGACUAAUAUUCAGGGCAAGUACCGAACACAUAUUACCUGCAAUCAACCUGGAAAGGUGGCGAUAUAGCUCACAAAUGCAGGGUAUGUAAAGGAAAAAUCAGAGUCGUUUAGGCAUUUUAGUCAGAAAAAAAUGAAUAUACAAGUUAUUUUCUCAUAAAAUAUGUGAGUACUAGAAUUGUGAGCUUGAUGUAAUCAUGGAUGUACAGUUAUUUAGUAUGUAAAGAGAAAGUGUUUUAACACUCUGAAAAAGAGUACCAGGAUAGGUACAAGGCAUACCAAGAUGUGCCUUGUUUGACAAUUAAAGGGAUUAGAACUGAACCUGCAGAAAAUGCAAAAAAAGGUGAGAAAAGUUUAAUAUAAAAGUGGUGUGAUUAUAUCCUUAUUAACUUAAUUCGUUAUUAACCUUUAUUAACUCUUACUUAGACUACUAAGGUUUCCUAUAAUUGGUCUCCCUUCUAAUAUUCCCUCAUAUUAAUCUUACUAAGUCAGAUUUCCCCAUGAAAUAACCCAGAAUCACUCGGCUUCCCCCUGACGGAGAACAUUCCUACACCCUGAAGAAGUCCUCUGGCUGCCCCAUUUCUCACUCUGCAAGAGCUAUGACUUCCUUUGAUGUAAAAAUCCAAAUAUAAAAAAAAGACAUGUCACUUUUUUGACAGGAUAAGAUAGAUGGAAAAUAUAUUUAAAAUAUAUAAAUAAGAAAUUUUAUGUUAUUUGAUACUAUGCAUAAUUUAUCUGGAGAAGUCGUGAUAUCAUUGGUGUUUCAAAUUUUUCAUAUUGGAAAAUGCUGGUGUCAUUAAAAAUUAUUGGGGAGCACAAAAAUAGUAGUUUCAGGAAACAGUUUCAGGAAAAAAUACAGAAAACAGGUGUAAAUUAUUGAGGAUUUGAUAAGAAAUUAAGAUAUUGAAUAGAAACUAUUCACCACAGGACCACUGAAUAAUGGAAAGAAGAGAAAUCAGAGGAUGGAUUUGAAGACUCAAAGAAGAUAAUUGAUCUUGGAAUAUAUGGGAAGUUGUGACAUUAGGAGAGUAAAAAUGAAAAGAUAAAUAUUUUGUGGAGUAAAUCUUUGGAAGAUGAAAAAAUACUUCUUUUGCUAGAAAAUGGCUUAAUAAGUCAGCAGAAGAUUGAGGGAGCUUGAAUUGAAAGGAUUGUAUGAAUAUAAUGUAAUUUAGUUUAAGAUGCAUGCUCAUGAGAGAGGGCUUGAAGAUAAAAACAUUGUUUAGAGUAGCAUCUAAACAAAAUCCUUCAAAAAGAACAGUUACAUUGAAAAGAGGGCUGGCGUUGACUGGCGUGCAUGUCUAGGAAAAUUAGUGCUGUUUUAAAACUUCUCCAACUGAGUAAUGAUUAGCAUCUAGGAAGAGAAACAGAAAAAGCUAGUGUUUUCAGAAUCCUGAUUUGAGAUUGGCAGGGAAGAAUUGUGUAAGAACAGAGGGCAACGGGACCAAAAAUGUCAGUAAGAUAAUAACCGAAAGAACAGAAAUUGAAGUCCAGGAAAGUGUACAUGCAGUCAGAGGGAGCUGGUGAAAAGGACAGUGGGGGGAUGGGGAAAUGGAAGUAGAUAUAUUAAGGAUGAGAAGUUUGGAAAUGUAGAAAGACAGUAGCUUGUGUUUAGAGAUUGAAUAUUUGAAGUCCAAAAUACAUAGAGGGUUCUUCUAAGGAAUAAACAGUUGCGGUCAUGUCAAAAAGUGGUCAUGACAUCAAGUGGAAAAGAAAGUUAUAUGAAUGGCAAUAUCAAGGAAUUGGGAGUUUGGCAUGUACUUCUGUAGUUUUUGGCGGCCUAUCACCCAUUCACUCUUCUUUUAGCAAGAAUAACCCAAUUUUUCUUAAGGAAAUAUUCCUCCAAUAUUCUAAGUCCAUGUGAUUCAGGUGUAAUCUCCCGUUGCAUACUCCAACCCCAUGAGUGGUUAUGAAACCCACGUUGGCAAUCAAAGCAACACGAACAUGGCCAUAAUAGUUAGUUCAGGACUGGCUAAACAUAUAAUACAAACCAGUACAGUUCUAGGACUUUAAAAAAUAUUUGUGGUCACUCAAAGUUUAAAAUGUAAGCCUGAAAGUGCUUUUAAGUAAAAUGAUAUCUCAAGGGGAUUAACUGCCUUAGAAUGGAGCCAGACUCAGGGGAAAGCAUAGAAUAAAUGGAAAAAGGAAACUUAAGACCUGUGAUAUAAGAGCCCCUUGAUGCUGCCAUGCCUGAAACUAGAGUCCAUAACUGGACUUUCCAGUUAAAUUCUACUUAAAUGCCUUUAUUCAGUUCAUACUAUUUAAAUUGGGCUUCUGUUGUUUGCAACCACAAAAGUUUCUAAUUUUAAAUAACAACCACCACAUUUUUCCUUUCUUGAGGAACAAGGAUAGGAAGAAAAUAUGAUAACAGAAGCUCAUCAGCAGACUAUUCAUGAUAAGAAGAUAUCAUUUGGCUGAAAGAAUGAAGAGAAAAAUAGAUGGACUCUAUGGUUUAGGUGACUGCAAAUGGAAUACCUUUCACCUCUAAUUGACUGACUGAAAUGGAGGCAGUCUCCAUAGAGACUGAAAUUCUUCCCUGAGAGAUGGCAGUUAGGUAGAGAGACUGCAGAUGGAGGGUUGCAUCUCCAUUCCUAAGAGAGGGGAAGUAUGACUUUAGGACUAGAUUCACUGGUUUCCAUAGCUGAUCUGAGCUGUUAUCAGUCCCCCGUAUUUUAAAAUAUAGCGCUUCUGAAAGAAUGGUGAUUUAAAGAAAUAUAACUAAUUAUGGUAAGACAUUAAGAAAUGGGGAAGUGUUUGAGUCAAUCUUGUGCUUAAACUACUGCUAAAGCUAUAAAGCUUCAUGUUUUCUGUAUGAUUAUGCUCUGAAAUCCUGUAAUUAUAUUGUCAUAAAUAAAUGAUAUGAUUGAAAGAAUCAAGUACAGUGCCUUUCAGAUAUAGGCUAAAUUUUAAUAAUACAAUAAAACAUUUUAAUAAUCAAAUAGAAAAGGAGGCCUUUUGUUAACCACUGUCUUCCUAUAGCAUAUUCCUUUAGCUUGUGUCCACCAUCCCAUUUUCUACUGUUUUUUCACCUACCUCGUUGACUACUUGUCACCUUUUAUAUUUCUUUUCCGAACUGCUCUUGCUAAUCUAUGUGGAUUAUAAGUGUUAUGUUUCAUCAGGAUUGCCUUCAGGCCAUUAUCUUAUCUGCAAUGAACUUCCUUCUAAACUGCCUUCUGUUUCCCUCAGACUCCCAUCUAUAGACUCUCCCAUCUUCUACAGAGAGGGGGAUCUUUUUCUCUAAACAUAAAUGGGAUGAUGAAGUCCUUUCAUGGCUUUCUGUUGCAGAGAGAAUAAAAUUCAGAACUCUGCAAGGUUCUGCAUUAAGUGCUCCUUAUUCUCUGUAACUGCCCAACCCUUUUCUCUCUAGUCAGUUUGCUUCAGCCAUAGUUUUUCUCAAUUCCUCAAAAAUGCUGAAUCUAUUGCCUGUAGUUACAUCCUUUCUACAGCUCUUCAGAUGACUGUCUUUCUCUCUUCCUUUGGUCUGAUUUUAAAUGCAAUUACUCCAAAGAAAUAUUUCCAGAUGAUCCACUUGAAAUAAAUUCCCCAAUAUUAUUCUCAAUAUUAACUCUCAGUAUGCCUCCUUCAAAUACAUAGUCUACUCUGUAUUUAUUUUCUUGAUUGGGCUAUUUGCUUACACUUUUUCUUUCUUUAACACUAGAAUACAAGCUCCAUGAAGCCCAGGACUUUCUGCAUUCCCUGCCACUGAAUCAUCACAGCUAAUACUCUGCUGAAUAAAUAUUUGUUAUUGGAUUAUAAUUUGACACAUCAAUAUUUUUAUGAUUUUUUAAAAUCGAUCUUACCUCGUUCCCUCAAGUUUUGCAUGAUUGGAAGUUUGUUGAGACGUUUCAAACCACAGCCUUCUUUCUAUUUUCCUCCAAAACAUUUAUCACAAUCUAGUGUAGAACACAGUUAAAUUAGUUAUUUGUUUAUUGUCUCUACACUCUGUAAACUUCAUGCAACAUUUUAAGACUUUUCAUUCGAUUGCCAUUGUUUAUUGUUUCUCCACUGAUCUAGCCUCAGUUCAUGAUAAAUUUUCACUGAAUAUUUGAUUGAUGUUUCAGGUUGAGCGUAGAGAAGGAUUUCCUGGUCAAACGAUUUUGUGAAACAAGACAUCCUAUACUAUUAUCUUAAACAUUUACACCAUUCAUACAAUAUAAAAAGUUCCUGAUAAAUGCUUCCAUUAUAAAAUAUGUUAACUUUGUUUAACUUAGUCUUUUAUCAGUGUAUUUACUCAUAGAGCUGCUAAUAACAUCUAGUAGAACUAAUGUCCUAGGUGUCACAUUUUUGGUAGAAAAAGUUUUUCCAUCACCUUGUAGCAAGCAGGGCAAGGCAUUUAUUCAUUUCACAACCCAGAGAAGGGUCCUAUUUAUUUAUGGUGUGGCUAAUGAGUUUCACUUCAUUAAGCGAAACUCAGCCAUAGUUACUGGAAUAGUGGAGAAAAAACUUCUGCUAGUUUCAAUCGCUCCAUUCUUCUUUGAAUGCAAAUCAUUGUUCAUAUAACAACAGUGACCUUCAUAUGGCAGCAGUGAUCUUCCUGGGAAACAAUUACAAUUAUGCCACUGCUUCACUUAACAUCUUUAAUGGCCGUCUCUUCACCAACGUUUCUCAUUUUUGCCUUUGGAGUGCAUUUUAAAAUGUUAUAACUAUACAAAGCCCACAGUUUCUUACAGGUCACAUCCUUAGCCCUACCCAAUUGUCAAAACAAAGGAUACAUUUUUAAGACCCUGAACUCUUUGUUGCUUUCAUCUGGAACACCUCUUUUGGCCAUCCCUUCCACCCUCCACCACACAAGUGCACUGGCUAACCCAGUCUUAUCUGACUGGUUAGCCCCUACUCAUAACUCAUGUUACAGCUUAGCCAGCCCUUCCAAGGUUCUGUUGAGUUUCCUUAUGUAUUCCAUACUCUUGACUUUAUCAUAAGUCUUCACCAGUCAUUAUAAUCUCUUGAAAGGUAACAAAAUAAUUCCUUUUUCUUUACCACAUUUCCAGUGUUUGUUUCAGUACAUGGCACAUAGUAAGCACUGGAGAGAUUAUGGAAGGAUAAUGAAAGAUAAGCCAUGUAUCUGUGACUGCCUCUUGGAGACAUAGACCUUAUGCAGCUGUGUAUUUGAUCUCGUCAGUGUUUUCUGUUUUUCUUUUGAGAGUUUUAAGUAUAUUCCUAGCUUUCAAAUUAGCUAAUGUAAAGGUUUUAUCCAUAUUAACUUUUAGCACUUCUUUUUUAUGUCUCUAUUUUCUCAGUGAUUUUUUGAGCAAUCUGUUGACAAGGCAUUUUAUUUGGAAUAGUAUGAACUUCUUAGAAAACACUAAUAUCUAUAGAGAUAAAAAUUUUUCUCCCUACAAUUAUACAUUGCUGCUCACUGGUGAAAACUGUUGCUUGAACAAGCCACAUGUUACAAGCUCCUAACACCAGCCACCCAACUGUACAACAGUGAGUUAUUCACAUCAACUACCUAACAGUAUUUACAACAAUGAUAUUUAUAUUAUGUAUAGUAUUUAUAUCAUAUUAAUUUUAAAAAUAAAACUUAUUUUGUAAAUUUUCUAUGUCAAAUAUUCUUUUACAUUAUAGCAUUUGAUUUUUUUUACAACUCUAUAAUGUAGGCAUUAAUAUUAUCACCCCUUCAUUCUUGGAACUAAUAAUCAUAGGUAUUGUUCUGAAUACGACUAUUGAGUAUCUUCUUCUUGAAAUUAUGGGUCUGUAUUUAUUUUUCUUUGUAUGGUCAUCACUUGAGUCAGUGCCAAGAAGCUCCCUAAAUGCAUCCAAGAUUAGAACUGGAGCUCAAAAUUUCCAUCUGAAAAGUUCUAUGUUUUGUUGUUUUACUUUAUCAGUCUAUAUCAAACUCAGCCAUCUUGAAGAAAAUAUGAGGCAAGAGUUCUCAUCAACAAAUAUUGUAAAAGGUACCUUUACAUAUUACUGAGGCAAAUCACUGUACUCAGCUUCAACUUCAUACUUACUUACACAAAAAUAUAUUCCACAAAUACUGGCACCUCCCAAAGUACCUCUCCCUACUCCUAUCACAUAAGGAUAAGAUCUCUGGGAAAUAGAUUGUGAGAUAGUGAGCUUUCUUCAAUUUUAAAAACUCACUAGAUGCUCUCUAUGAAUUGACAUGUGUAAGGGAAUGAAGGAAGCAGGACUGGGCAGAGGGAAAGGUGAGCUGCAUUGUAGUUGCAACAAACACCUUGUCGAUCAAAAAGCCAUCACACCUUCUAAAACUGAGAUGCAAUCUCAGAGCUGUCUCAGUUAAAGGAAGGGAGCUGAUAUGGUUUGGCUCUGUGUCCCCACACUAAUCUCAUGUUGAAUUGUAAUCUUCAGUGCUGUGGAGGGAUCUGGUAGGAGGUGACUAGAUCAUGGGGACAGAUUUCCCUCUUCCUGUUCUCACGAUAGUGAGUGAGUUCUCAUGAGAUCUGGUUGUUUAAAAGCACACAGCAUAUCCCCCUUUGUUCUCUCUCUCUCCUGCUCUGCUAUAUGAAGUUUGUGCCUGCUUCCACUUCACCUUCCUUCAUGAUUGUAACUUUUCUGAGGUCUCCCCAGCCAUGCCUCAUGUACAGCCUGUGGAACUGUGAGUCAUUAAACCUCUUUUCUCCAUAAAUAACCUAGUAUCAUGUAGGUCUUUACAGCAAUGAUAGAAUGGACUUAUACAGAAAAUUGGUACCAGAGAAGUGGGGCAUUGGUAUAAAGAUACCUGAAAAUGUGGACAUGACUUUGGAACUUUGGUAAUGGGCAGUGGUUGGAAUAGUUUGGAGUGCUCAAAAGAAGAUGGAAACAUGAGGGAAAGUUUGGAAUUUCCCAAAGACUUGUUGAAUGCUUGUGACUAAAAUGCUGAUAGUGACAUGGACAGUGAAGUUCAGGCUGAGGUGGUCUCUGAUGGAGAUGAGUAACUUUUUGAGAACUGGAGUAAGGGUCACUCUUGCUAUGGUUUAGCAAAGAUAUUGGUGGCAUUGUGCCCCUGCUCUAGAGAUCUGUGGAAUGGUGAACCUGAGAGAUAUAAUAUAGGGUAUCUGAUGGAAGAAAUUUCUAAGUAGCAAAGCAUAUGAGAUAUGACCUGGCUGCUUCUAAAAGCCUAUGCUCAUCUGCAUAAACAAAGAAAUGGCCUGAAACUAGAACUUAUGUUUAAAAGGGAAUCAUAACAUAAAAGUUUGGAAAAUUCACAGCCUAAUCAUGUGGUAGAAAAAAAAAAUCAUAUUCUAGGGAGAAAUUCAAGGCUGCAGAAAUUUGAAUAAAUAAAGAGCCAAAUGUUAAUAGCCAAGACAAUGGACAUUUAGUUAAUGCUGGAAUGAGUUAAGACUUUGGGGCACUGUUGGGAAGGCAUGAUUGGUUUUGAGAUAUGAGAAGGACAUGAGAUUUGGGAGAGGCCAGGGGCAGAAUGAUAUGGUUUGGCUGUGUGUCACCAACCAAAUCUCACGUUGAAUUGUAAUCCCCAGUGUUGGAAGAGGGACCUCCUAGGAGGUAACUGGAUUAUGGGGUGGAUUUCCCCCUUGCUGUUCUCCUGACUGUGAGUCAGUUCUCAUGAGAUCUGGUUGUUUUAAAUGUGUAGCAUUUCACCCUUUCUCUCUCUCUCUCUCUCUCACUCUCUCUCUCUCACACACACACUCUCUCUCACUCUCACUCUCUCUCUCUCUCUAUCACACACACACACACACACACACACACACACACACACACACUCUCUCUCUCUCUCUCUCUCCUGUUCUGCUAUGUGAAGAGUAUGCCUGCUUCACCUUCAACUUCUGCCAUGAUUGAAGUUUUCCUGAGGCUUCCCUAGCCAUGCCUUUUGUACAGCCUGUGAAACUGGGAGUCAAUUAAACCUCUUUUCUCCAUAAAUUACCCAGUCUCAGGUAUGUUUUUAUAGCAGUGUGAGAACAGACUAGUGCAGGAGCCAAGCCGUUGUACACACAUUUCUACCAGUCACUGUUUACAAGCUGCCUCUGAAGAAGGACCAUAACCUUGGGCUUGGAAGUUCUGUUUUUUGAAAGCAAUUCCUUGAGAAAGGAGUUAGCUAUGAGCCAUCAGCAGCCAGGCAGCUGAGGGAAUGAGCUCCUCAAUCCCAAAGAGGAGUUCUGAGUAGCCAACUAUAGUUUCCGAUUAAUCUACAUAUUUAAUGGACACUAAAUGUGAUAUAAUGUCAAGUAGCACUUUUUUAAAAAUAUUUUUUAAAAUAGCGAAGUUAACUUUAUUUCAG